rnacentral:rRNA from 1 species
UCGUGCUGCAGGCCUAACACAUGCAAGUCGAACGGACCCUUCGGGGUUAGUGGCGGACGGGUGAGUAACACGUGGGAACGUGCCUUUAGGUUCGGAAUAGCUCCUGGAAACGGGUGGUAAUGCCGAAUGUGCCCUUCGGGGGAAAGAUUUAUCGCCUUUAGAGCGGCCCGCGUCUGAUUAGCUAGUUGGUGAGGUAACGGCUCACCAAGGCGACGAUCAGUAGCUGGUCUGAGAGGAUGACCAGCCACACUGGGACUGGGACACGGCCCAGACUCCUACGGGAGGCAGCAGUGGGGAAUCUUGCGCAAUGGGCGAAAGCCUGACGCAGCCAUGCCGCGUGAAUGAUGAAGGUCUUAGGAUUGUAAAAUUCUUUCACCGGAGACGAUAAUGACGGUACCCGGAGAAGAAGCCCCGGCUAACUUCGUGCCAGCAGCCGCGGUAAUACGAAGGGGGCUAGCGUUGCUCGGAAUUACUGGGCGUAAAGGGCGCGUAGGCGGAUCGUUAAGUCAGAGGUGAAAUCCCAGGGCUCAACCCUGGAACUGCCUUUGAUACUGGCGAUCUUGAGUAUGAGAGAGGUAUGUGGAACUCCGAGUGUAGAGGUGAAAUUCGUAGAUAUUCGGAAGAACACCAGUGGCGAAGGCGACAUACUGGCUCAUUACUGACGCUGAGGCGCGAAAGCGUGGGGAGCAAACAGGAUUAGAUACCCUGGUAGUCCACGCCGUAACGAUGAUUGCUAGUUGUCGGG